UGGGGAAUUUUGCGCAAUGGGCUAACGCCUGACGCAGCAACGCCGCGUGGAGGAUGAAGGUCUUUGGAUUGUAAACUCCUGUCAGCAGGGAAAAAGCGACUCGGUCUAAUACACCGGGGAGUUGAUUGUACCUGCAGAGGAAGCCCCGGCUAACUCUGUGCCAGCAGCCGCGGUAAUACAGAGGGGGCAAGCGUUAUUCGGAAUUAUUGGGCGUAAAGGGCGCGUAGGCGGCCUGGCAAGUGGAAGGUGAAAUCCCUCGGCUUAACCGAGGAACUGCCUCCCAAACUGCUUGGCUUGAGACCAGGAGAGGUGAGUGGAAUUCCCAGUGUAGCGGUGAAAUGCGUAGAUAUUGGGAGGAACACCAGUGGCGAAGGCGGCUCACUGGACUGGUACUGACGCUGAGGCGCGAAAGCGUGGGGAGCAAACGG
rnacentral:rRNA from 1 species